UUUUUUUUUUUUUUCCUUUUUUUCUAGUUAGGUGGUUUCCUCUGCCAGUUAUAAUCUCUGCCAAAAGUUGAGCAAGACAAAGAGAAUUAAUUAGGUAAAUUUUAUUUUAUUCCUUUUAUCAACAAAUAUUUUCUAUGUCUCCUACUGUGAACUCGGUGUUCUUCUGAGCACCAUUGGGGAUAUAAAGAGAUGGGGAACAUUCCCUGCCUUCGUGGAGUUCUCUUAGUCUUCUGAAGGAGAAAGAAUUCAGGGAUUUGAAAAGAUAGAAAGCAACUGUGUAGGAAACUUUUUCAUUCUCCCCAAUAUGACCAGAGAUGGAAAAGCAGCACAGGUUUUACCAGGUUCUCCAGGUAUAAUAUUGAAGGAAGGAAAAGAAGGAGGGGAUAACUAAGUUCUAGAACCAUCACAUUUUUCUUUAUAUUAACUAUCCUAAAAAAAAAAUAAUAACUGUCCUUAACCUUCCAGACAAGUCUCUGAGACAGGCCUUAGCCCCAUUUAAUCUAUGUAAAAAUAGAUGCAGAGAGGAUGCAGUCCUAUUUCUUAACCUCUCUAUAGUCCAUAGCAAUUAAAUGGGAAACUUGAAUUUGAUUCUGAAACAAUUUGUCUUCAGAGCUUUCAUACAUAGAGCACUCUGGGACACCGAAUGGGGCUUGAACCAAGUCUUGACAGAUGGGUAGAGUUUGCCUCAUUAUGAAGGAGGAGGACAAACAUUUCAAGAAGCUCCCAUUUGGAGGAUAGUGUGUAUAGGCUGAUGAUACCAAAGUGGACUGCAGAUAGUGAAGGAAAACAUUUUAUUUUAAACUAGCUCUAUUCUCUGGCAUGUUUCAGGAAGAAUCACUGGUAUCAAUAAAUAGUGUUUAAAAUAAAUAAUAAAAACAAAUUUGGAGUUGUACCAAUGUUUAAGGAUUAUAAUAGUCAAUAACGAUCUAAAAAUGUUUCUCUUCUCUAUAUGUAUAGUUCUGCAUGGGAUAUGAGUCCAUUGUUAUUGCUGCUCCACUUGGAGUAUGCUGCACGGAGUGGCCCAAGUUCUCACUUAAUCUACUUCUCAGUAGAUCAGCUGCACACUGACACCAGCAAUUUGAAAUAUUUUGUGAUUUAUGUGUUUCAGGAACAAACAGAUGCUUUCUGCGGACUGUGGACCUUGGAAAGUGAGGGGGUAGUUUAGCAAUCGACCAGGAAGAUAUAUAAAUCAUGAGCCUACGUACUUCUAAUGAGCCAGGCUCAAAAUACAUAAAACAUUUGAGAGAACCACGAAGAGAGGCUAAUCCAGAAUCAUAGCAGGAGGUUCUAAUCUAUUUCUCUCAGAACUCGAUAGAUCAAGUAGACAAAAGAAAACUAGUAAAAGUGUAGAAGAUUUGCACCACAUAACUUCAAAGCUCGAUCUAAGGGUAGAUACAGAGCCUUGUACACAAGAGACCAAGAAUGCAUUCUUUUAAAGCACCCAUUGAGUAUUUAUAAAAAUUAAUCACAUACUAGGUCAUGAGAAUAGUCUCAACAAAUUCCAAAGAAUAUAUUCAUAUGGUCUAUGUUAUCUAACCACAAAGAAAUAAUUAAAUUAGAAAAAAAAACAAUAAAAAGACUGUUACAAACAACAGCAGCUGUCAUACCUUUAGGGGGUAAACAUACUUCUAAAAACCUCAAGUGUUAAAGAGGACAAAUAUGGAAAUUAAAAACUAUUUAGUACUAAGUUAAAACAAUAGCAUUACAUUUUAAAAUGUAGCUAAAAGCAGUACUCAGUGGAAAAUUUGCUGUCUGUAAGUUCAAUUCUGUGUCAAUAAAGGGAUUGGAUUUUUCAGGAAACUUAAAAAAUUGUAUUUUUCAUAAAGAAGUCAGAAAAUAAUAAAACAAUAGUCUAUAGCUAACACUAUUCACAAAUAAGAACAGAAAAUGCAGGCCUAUGCUAUCUCAUAUCCAGAUUGUUAUAAAGCCAUAGUAAUUAAGGUAAGAUGGUGUUGGUACAUGGAUAGAAAAAUAGAUCAUCAGGACAGAAUAGAGAACCUAGAAGUGAAACCAAGCAUAUAUGGGCCCUAGUUCUGUAACAGUGGAGGGGGAAAAAUGAGAUAAAUCAGAGAGAGGGGAUGAACUAAUAAAUAACCCUUCAUAUGAAAAAUUGGUUUUCCUACAAAAAAAAUUAUAAUUAGAUCAAUACCUCACCAUACAUAAAAACAAUCUCCCAAUGGAAAAAAUACAAUAUGAAAAAGAACUUUAAAAAGCAUUAGAAGAAGAUAUUAGGGAAUAUUUUAGGAUCUCAGGAUAGGGAAUGAUUUCUCUUGGCAAAAUUCAAAAGCUUAAACUGAAAUAAAAAAAUAUUAAAUUUGACUACUCAGUGUUUUUUAAAAUCACAAUAAAGUUAAAAUAUAAUUGACAAAGUAGAAGGAACAAAGGUACUGUAUUUUAAUGCAUAUGAGAGAUGAAAGAUUGUAAUCUAGAAUGACCUAUGUUACAUAUAAAUAAAAAGACCAAAACAAACAAACAAAAAAA
rnacentral:lncRNA from 1 species